rnacentral:rRNA from 1 species
GACGAACGCUGGCGGCGUGCUUAACACAUGCAAGUCGAACGGAAAGGCCCUGCUUUUGUGGGGUGCUCGAGUGGCGAACGGGUGAGUAACACGUGAGUAACCUGCCCUUGACUUUGGGAUAACUUCAGGAAACUGGGGCUAAUACCGGAUAGGAGCUCCUGCUGCAUGGUGGGGGUUGGAAAGUUUCGGCGGUUGGGGAUGGACUCGCGGCUGAUCAGCUUGUUGGUGGGGUAGUGGCUUACCAAGGCUUUGACGGGUAGCCGGCCUGAGAGGGUGACCGGCCACAUAGAGACUAAGAUACGGCCCAGAAUCCUACGGGAGGCAGCAGUGGGGAAUAGUGCACAAUGGGCGGAAGCCUGAUGCAGCAACGCCGCGUGAGGGAUGACGGCCUUCGGGUUGUAAACCGCUUUCGCCUGUGACGAAGCGUGAGUGACGGUAAUGGGUAAAGAAGCACCGGCUAACUACGUG